AGUGAACGCUGGCGGUAGGCCUAACACAUGCAAGUCGAACGGCAGCACAGUAAGAGCUUGCUCUUACGGGUGGCGAGUGUCGGACGGGUGAGGAAUACAUCGGAAUCUACUUUUUCGUGGGGGAUAACGUAGGGAAACUUACGCUAAUACCGCAUACGACCUACGGGUGAAAGCAGGGGAUCUUCGGACCUUGCGCGAUUGAAUGAGCCGAUGUCGGAUUAGCUAGUUGGCGGGGUAAAGGCCCACCAAGGCGACGAUCCGUAGCUGGUCUGAGAGGAUGAUCAGCCACACUGGAACUGAGACACGGUCCAGACUCCUACGGGAGGAAGCAGUGGGGAAUAUUGGACAAUGGGCGCAAGCCUGAUCCAGCCAUACCGCGUGGGUGAAGAAGGCCUUCGGGUUGUAAAGCCCUUUUGUUGGGAAAGAAAAGCAGCAGGUUAAUACCCCGCUGUUCUGACGGUACCCAAAGAAUAAGCACCGGCUAACUUCGUG
rnacentral:rRNA from 1 species